UACGUAGGGUGCGAGCGUUGUCCGGAAUUAUUGGGCGUAAAGGGCUCGUAGGCGGUCUGUCGCGUCGGGAGUGAAAACUCAGGGCUUAACCCUGAGCCUGCUUCCGAUACGGGCAGACUAGAGGUAUGCAGGGGAGAACGGAAUUCCUGGUGUAGCGGUGGAAUGCGCAGAUAUCAGGAGGAACACCGGUGGCGAAGGCAGCUAACUAGGCUGUAACUGACGCUGAGGCACGAAAGUGUGGGGAUCAAACAGG
rnacentral:rRNA from 1 species